GAUGAACGCUGGCGGCGUGCCUAAUACAUGCAAGUCGAGCGAAUGGAUUAAGAGCUUGCUCUUAUGAAGUUAGCGGCGGACGGGUGAGUAACACGUGGGUAACCUGCCCAUAAGACUGGGAUAACUCCGGGAAACCGGGGCUAAUACCGGAUAACAUUUUGAACCGCAUGGUUCGAAAUUGAAAGGCGGCUUCGGCUGUCACUUAUGGAUGGACCCGCGUCGCAUUAGCUAGUUGGUGAGGUAACGGCUCACCAAGGCAACGAUGCGUAGCCGACCUGAGAGGGGGAUCGGCCACACUGGGACUGAGACACGGCCCAGACUCCUACGGGAGGCAGAAGUAGGGAAUCUUCCGCAAUGGACGAAGGUCUGACGGAGCAAAGCCGCUUGAGUGAUGAAGGCUUUCGGGUCGUAAAACUCUGUUGUUAGGGAAGAACAAGUGCUAGUUGAAUAAGCUGGCACCUUGACGGUACCUAACCAGAAAGCCACGGCUAACUACGUGCCAGCAGCCGCCGUAA
rnacentral:rRNA from 1 species